ensembl:lncRNA
UUUUUUUAUUUUUUUAGGAUUUCUUAUCUUUCUUUUCUGUUGUAAUUUCCUUUUGCACUUUGAAUGGUACAAUUCUAUUUUCCUGAAAGGUACGGUGGACAGCUUCUGGGUUGGUGAGUAUAGAACACUGGAUGAUUACAUUUAAAGUUGGAGGUAUUAAGCAGGAAAAUUAUUUUAAUCAUUCCAGAUAUUCAAAAUACUGUUUGUUAAAUUGCUUAAUGCAAGUUCUUAAGCAAUACUUGGGGGGGGGGGGAACCCCAAAAAAACCGUAUCUUGCUAAAUGAACCAACAGAAUUUUCAAUAUAUAACUGAUACUGUGUGUAAUCUCAUCUAAGGAUUUCAAGAAGUCCUCUAGUAAAGUAAAGAAAAAGAAUUUCUGUCAUUUUCAUUACUUGAAGGAAAGAAACAUAGACAGAUAAGCCAGUCUGGACAAGAAUUUUGAGAAUGAUAAUCUGUUCGUUCUUUUCUGAUCACACUGAAUUCUCUCAAAGGAGAUUAAAAUGCAAAGAUCCAAAACCGAGCUUGUAUCUAUCCAAGAAGAAUUAAACAAGCGCUACUGCCAGUGAAAGUCCUACAGAUAACUCUGUUAGUAUCACUCACCCUAGAAUAUCAACGAUAUUAGUGGAAGAUUGAAAGCUAAAAUGAUACACUGCAUGGUUAGAGCCAAGGGUGAAGAAGAGCAAUAAAACGAAAUGAAUUGACACUGCAGAUCCCUUCUUGCAACCAAGUAGCAUGGAUCUUUAUAAUGACAUGCCAUACCAUGCUGUGUUGGACCUUGACAACUAAAACAACAGCCCUUUCUGCUUGGCCUAAACAAAGUGCAGGGACAUCAGAGACAGGAUCCUCCCUUCCAAACUACAACACCCAUAGUUUUUAACCACCUCCUUAUAUUCAGAACUUCAUGACAAUUUAAGAAAGGUGUCAUGCUACACUGACACUGUGCAAGCAGUGACGCAGGAACCAUAUAGUGAUGAACUCAUCUGUAACACCAACACCACCCUUGGCCCUGUUUACAGAGAUGCCCACUGUUUUCUAUUUUUCUCCACUACAGAUAUAAGGGCUACAUAGCUCUAGACUUCACGCUUCAUUUGUAGAGACAACCUGAUGUGGUCUUUGUCACAGCCAGUUUCCCAUCAUCUUUGACAACUAGGGGAAGUUGGCCCUCUGUUAGUAACUGUUGGUAAAAAUAAAGCAAGGACCUGAGUUUAAAGAAACCAAACCCAUUAAUAUAAUUUGGCAUAGUCUAAUGUAACUUCUGACUGAUGAUCCCUGAGAUUUCUUGCAUUAUGCCUGUUGGCUGAUAUUCACUGAAGACUCCCCACAGAAUAGAAGGCUGAGACCAGAGACUACAGAAAACCAUAUGUGGCAGUAGCAGCUGUGGAAAAUUUGGUAGUGUCAUAGAUCCCUGUAGAGAAACCAGCUUCAUCUCAACUUUCCAUACCACAGAACAAACAACCCCAAACAACAAAACAGAAACAGAGCACAGAACACCCUCUCCCUUUUAUGAAGAGCUGAAAUAGAUUCUGAAAACACGAACUGUUUCAUUACACAAUCAAGAAAUGCGACAUUUAUGACAUAUCAAAUGGUCAGGCCUCAUACCUGACAGACAGCUCAAACUCUGUGCACACGAAGUAAUCAAAGUUCAAGGAUCACAGGGACAGCAACCUCAGUUAAUCAGAAUCAUUUUGGGUUCUUGGAGGUCACAGAAUAACCAACUAAAAGCCAGGAACA